rnacentral:lncRNA from 1 species
AGUAAAGUGGUAGCUGAGUUGUCUUGGCUCUCUCGUUUGCUAACUGACAUUGGGGUUUCUGUUGCUCUUCCUUUCUCUGUUUUUUGUGACAGCCAGGCUGCCAUUCAUAUUGCAAAGAAUCCUGUUUUUCAUGAACGGACUAAGCAUAUUGAGGUGGAUUGUCACUUUAUUCGGGAUCAGCUGACUGAUGGACUCAUUUCUAUUUCACAUGUCUCUACUUCAGGCCAGCUUGCUGACCUCCUCACCAAGCCUCUGUCUAGGACUAUCCUCCAUCCUCUGUUUCUUGCUGGACUACGAAUAUUGAGGUGGAUUGUCACUUUAUUUGGUCAGCUGACUGGUGGACUCAUUUCUAUUUCACUUGUCCCUACUUCUGGACAGACCUCCUCACCAAGCCUCUGCCUGGGACUAUCCUCCAUCCUCUGCUGCUCAAGUUGAAGUUGGUCUCCCCCUCCAACUUGAGGGGGGGUGUUGAGCUACAAGAUUAUCUAGCCUCUAAGCCUA